rnacentral:rRNA from 1 species
GAGUUAGUAGAUUCGUCGCACGGGUAUGUACUAAUCUUACGGAUUCCUCCUUCCUGAUGAACCGUAAUGCCAUUAACUUGGUGUUACGGGGAGACUGGACUGUUACUUUGAAAAAUUAGAGUGUUUAAAGCAGGCUUACGCUUGAAUAAAUUAGCAUGGAAUAAUGAAAUAGGACGUUCGAUCCUAUUUUGUUGGUUUCUAGGAUUGACGUAAUGAUUAA